GAUGAACGCUGGCGGCGUGCCUAAUACAUGCAAGUCGAGCGAACAGACGAGGAGCUUGCUCCUCUGACGUUAGCGGCGGACGGGUGAGUAACACGUGGAUAACCUACCUAUAAGACUGGGAUAACUUCGGGAAACCGGAGCUAAUACCGGAUAAUAUAUUGAACCGCAUGGUUCAAUAGUGAAAGACGGUUUUGCUGUCACUUAUAGAUGGAUCCGCGCCGCAUUAGCUAGUUGGUAAGGUAACGGCUUACCAAGGCAACGAUGCGUAGCCGACCUGAGAGGGUGAUCGGCCCCACUGGAACUGAGACACGGUCCAGACUCCUACGGGAGGCAGCAGUAGGGAAUCUUCCGCAAUGGGCGAAAGCUUGACGGAGCAACGCCGCGUGAGUGAUGAAGGUCUUCGGAUCGUAAAACUCUGUUAUUAGGGAAGAACAAAUGUGUAAGUACCUAUGCACGUCUUGACGGUACCUAAUCAGAAAGCCACGGCUAACUACGUG
rnacentral:rRNA from 1 species